rnacentral:rRNA from 1 species
UACGAGGGGGGCGAGCGUUGUUCGGAAUUAUUGGGCGUAAAGGGCGCGUAGGCGGGCGGCCAAGUCAGGGGUGAAAGCCCCCAGCUCAACUGGGGAAGUGCCUUUGAUACUGGUUGUCUCGAGGGAGGUAGGGGCGUGCGGAACUUCCGGUGGAGCGGUGAAAUGCGUAGAUAUCGGAAGGAACGCCGGUGGCGAAAGCGGCGCGCUGGACCUCUUCUGACGCUGAGGCGCGAAAGCUAGGGGAGCAAACGGG